rnacentral:rRNA from 1 species
AGCGAACGUUUGCGGCGGGCCUAACACAUGCAAGUCGAACGCACUAGCAAUAGUGAGUGGCGCACGGGUGCGUAACACGUGGGUAAUCAACCCUUCAGCCUGGGAUAACGACUCGAGAGGGUCGCUAAUACCGGAUACGGCGCGAGAGGCUUCGGCUUCUCACGAGAAAGCCACGCAAGGGGCACUGAAGGACGAGCCUGCGGCCCAUCAGCUAGUUGGUGAGGUAAGAGCUCACCAAGGCUAAGACGGGUAGCUGGUCUGAGAGGAUGAUCAGCCACACUGGAACUGAGACACGGUCCAGACUCCUACGGGAGGCAGCAGUGGGGAAUAUUGCGCAAUGGGCGAAAGCCUGACGCAGCCACGCCGCGUGAGCGAUGAAGGCCUCGGUCGUAAGACUCUGUGGGAGGAGACGAAGAAAGACCUGUGAAGAGCAGGCCUUGACGGUAGUCUCCUUA